rnacentral:tRNA from 1 species
GGGGCACUAGCUCAACUGGCUGAGCGCCGGUCUCCAAAACCGGAGGUUGCAGGUUCGAGUCCUGCGUGCCCCG